rnacentral:rRNA from 1 species
UGCACAAUGGGCGCAASCUGAUGCAGCAACGCCGCGUGAGGGACGACGGCCUUCGGGUUGUAAACCUCUUUWAGCAGGGAAGAAGCGAAAGUAACGGUACCUGCAGAAAAARCACCGGCUAACUACGUGCCAGCAGCCGCGGUAAUACGUAGGGUGCAAGCAUUAUCCGGDAUUAAUGGGCGUAAAGAGCUCGUAGGCGGUUUGUCGCGUCUGCUGUGAAAACCCGAGGCUCAACCUCGGGCCUGCAGUGGGUACGGGCAGACUAGAGUGCGGUAGGGGAGAUUGGAAUUCCUGGUGUAGCGGUGGAAUGCGCAGAUAUCAGGAGGAACACCGAUGGCGAAGGCAGAUCUCUGGGCCGUAACUGACGCUGAGGAGCGAAAGCAUGGGGAGCGAACAGGAUUAGAUACCCUGGUAGUCCAUGCCGUAAACGUUGGGAACUAGAUGUGGGGACCAUUCCACGGUCUCCGUGUCGCAGCUAACGCAUUAAGUUCCCCGCCUGGGGAGUACGGCCGCAAGGUAUAAAACUCAAAGGAAUUGACGGGGGCCCGCACAAGCGGCGGAGCAUGCGGAUUAAUUCGAUGCAACGCGAAGAACCUUACCAAGGCUUGACAUAUACGAGAACGCUGCAGAAAUGUAGAACUCUUUGGACACUCGUAUACAGGUGGUGCAUGGUUGUCGUCAGCUCGUGUCGUGAGAUGUUGGGUUAAKUCCGCAACGAGCGCAACCCUCGUCGUWUGUUGCCAGCACGUAAUGGUGGGAAUUYAUWUGARACUGCCGGGGUCAACUCGGAGGAAGGUGGGGWUGAGGUCAAAUCAUCAUGCCCCUUWUKUCUUGGGCUUYACGCAUKCUAMAWUGGCCGGUACAAAGGGCUGCRAUACCGUAAGGUGGAGCGAAUCCCAAAAAGCCGGUCYCAGUUCGGAUUKAGGUCUGCAACUCGACCAYVAUBRRGUCGKAKUHKYU